rnacentral:lncRNA from 10 species
CUCUUCCUGCGGGCGCGCCAGAAAGACAGGCGCCAUCUCAGAGCUUCCUGCAGGACUCAGCAUCUGCACUACCCUGGGAUUCAGACACCAUUAUGAGGAUGCAGUGCUGAGUAAGACUGGCAAAGUUCCUGACAUCUGGUGCAGAGGAGGUAAACAAUAAAUAAAUAGUUAAUAAGGCAGGCAAAUAAUGCUGCAAUUGCAAGCCUCAACAAAGAUUACAAAGGAAAAUAAUAGGAAGUUGUA